rnacentral:tRNA from 1 species
GCCCAGAUGGCGGAAUUGGUAGACGCGCCAGGUUGAGGGCCUGGUGACCGGUUUAGGUUGUGCAAGUUCGAUUCUUGUUCUGGGCAC